GACGAACGCUGGCGGCGUGCUUAACACAUGCAAGUCGAACGGAAAGGCCCUGCUUUUGUGGGGUGCUCGAGUGGCGAACGGGUGAGUAACACGUGAGUAACCUGCCCUUGACUUUGGGAUAACUUCAGGAAACUGGGGCUAAUACCGAUAGGAGCUCCUGCCGCAUGGUGGGGGUUGGAAAGUUUCGGCGGUUGGGGAUGGACUCGCGGCUUAUCAGCUUGUUGGUGGGGUAGUGGCUUACCAAGGCUUUGACGGGUAGCCGGCCUGAGAGGGUGACCGGCCACAUUGGGACUGAGAUACGGCCCAGACUCCUACGGGAGGCAGCAGUGGGGAAUAUUGCACAAUGGGCGGAAGCCUGAUGCAGCAACGCCGCGUGCGGGAUGACGGCCUUCGGGUUGUAAACCGCUUUCGCCUGUGACGAAGCGUGAGUGACGGUAAUGGGUAAAGAAGCACCGGCUAACUACGUG
rnacentral:rRNA from 1 species